rnacentral:rRNA from 1 species
UACGUAGGGGGCAAGCGUUGUCCGGAUUUAUUGGGCGUAAAGCGCUCGCAGGUGGUUCAUUGCGUCGUGCGUGAAAGACCCCGGCUCAACUGGGGAGGGUCGUGCGAAACGGGUGAACUAGAGGCCAGUAGGGGGAUGCGGAAUUCCUGGUGUAGCGGUGAAAUGCGCAGAUAUCAGGAAGAACACCUAUGGCGAAGGCAGCUCUCUGGGACGGUACUGACGCUGAGACGCGAAAGCGUGGGGAGCGAACAGG